rnacentral:sRNA from 2 species
AUAUCUCUCUGUACGGGAAGGAUGAGAAGCUUCGACCAAGGUUCGAUUCGAGCGCAGCGAGAAAGCGUUGCCGCAGGCAACGACCCGAAGGGCGAAGCGCGCAGC